UACGUAGGUGGCAAGCGUUGUCCGGAAUUACUGGGCGUAAAGCGCGCGCAGGCGGUCCUUUAAGUCUGAUGUGAAAGCCCACGGCUCAACCGUGGAGGGUCAUUGGAAACUGGGGGACUUGAGUGCAGAAGAGGAGAGUGGAAUUCCACGUGUAGCGGUGAAAUGCGUAGAGAUGUGGAGGAACACCAGUGGCGAAGGCGACUCUCUGGUCUGUAACUGACGCUGAGGCGCGAAAGCGUGGGGAGCAAACAGG
rnacentral:rRNA from 1 species